CAGUCACGAUCUCGACCUGGAGGCGCCUCAGGAGACGCGCCAGCGCCGAGAGUGGCAGCUCCAGCAUGGAGUCCUCUGAGGAAAUGACGACCGCCGCUCCCUGAAGGACUCUGACGUGAUGGCACUGACCUUGGCUUGGAUCCCUGACCUUCACUUGACGCUCCUAAUCAUUUCAAGAUGUUUUGGUUAACGUUUUCGACAAUAAAGCAUCUCAGUAAUUAAAGAAAAUUAAAUCAUUUAGCACA
rnacentral:lncRNA from 1 species